rnacentral:tRNA from 1 species
GACUGGGUAGCUCAGCGGUAAGAGCAGCGGACUGAAAAUAAGCCGGGCGGUGGUGAGCUUCCAUCCCCAGCA